AUACGGAGGUGGCAAGCGUUGUUCGGAUUUAUUGGGUGUAAAGGGUACGUAGGUGGUUAGAUAAGUCGAGCGUGAAAUCCAUUGGCUCAACCAAUGAACUGCACUCGAAACUGUUUAACUUGAGUUCAGGAGAGGAAAGCGGAAUUCCAGGUGUAAGAGUGAAAUCUGUAGAGAUCUGGAGGAACACCAGUGGCGAAGGCGGCUUUCUGGACUGACACUGACACUGAAAUACGAAAGCUAGGGGAGCAAACAGGAUUAGAAACCCUAGUAGUCC
rnacentral:rRNA from 1 species